AUGAAUCGGCUUGAUGCAAUUGAAAUCCCACGUAUUGCACACUUCACCAAUGAUAUUAUAGCGAAUAUCUUGCGUGAAGAUACACAGAUAGCUAAUGGCCUUGAAACAUACGGUAAACUUGCGCUUAGGCCCAAGGAGGGUACCUGCUAUUUCGAGGAUUCCCAAUCUCAGCACUUAUUUACAGCCUGUCCACCUUCCCCGCCGCCUACUCUUCGAGUUCUCACAAAUUAUAGUGACAAUCGUGCUUCAGUUCAUGAUGGAUCAUCUGGUGACCCCAAUGUUAGUAAGGAGGUGCCUGCAAAAUUUGAUCAUUUAUCUCCGUCUGGACAACCCUCCCAAACUGUUGAGACAUUAGAGACAGGAGGUAGUGCCCUUGCCCCAGUUAUACCAAGGUUCUCAAUUUGA
rnacentral:rRNA from 1 species